rnacentral:rRNA from 1 species
GAUGAAUGCUGGCGGCGUGCCUAACACAUGCAAGUCGAGCGGCAGCGAGGGGUGCUUGCACCCUGUCGGCGAGCGGCGAACGGCUGAGUAACGCGUAGGAAUUUGCCCCAAAGUGAGGAAUAACUGCCCGAAAGGGUAGCUAAUGCCGCAUAUGGUCUUCGGAUUAAAGGAUUUAUCCGCUUUGGGAGAAGCCUGCAUUGGAUUAGGUUGUUGGUAGGGUAAUGGCCUACCAAGCCGACGAUCCAUAGCUGGUCUGAGAGGAUGAUCAGCCAGACUGGAACUGAGACACGGUCCAGACUCCUACGGGAGGCAGCAGUGAGGAAUCUUCCACAAUGGGCGAAAGCCUGAUGGAGCAACGCCGCGUGAAGGAUGAAGGCCUUCGGGUUGUAAACUUCUUUUAUGAGUGAAGAAUAUGACGGUAACUCAUGAAUAAGCACCGGCUAACUACGUG